UUCUUCUUGCACGGAAGAAAAUCUUAGGUGACAUUUGUGGAAGAGGACGUACAUGUCUCACUACUUGCUAAAUUAGGACAACCACCCAGUCAUCACUCUCCAGUUCUUGGAACUCUCUUCCAAUGGUAGACCUCAAGAUCAUUCAUUUCAACCAUGGCAUAUGAUGUUUAAAAAUCAUCUGUAUAAGGGCUAGAACUUGGAAGCAAAUAAACCUGUAACCAAAAUGAAGGCCCAUUUAAUGACCACCACAGUGGAAAGUGUACACGUAUCCCCCAAAUUUACAGUGGAUUGAUACCCAGUGGAUAGAAACUGUGUAUCCAGGAUCCUCACGUCUUCCCACGUUGACUUCUUAAUCUCUCUGUGUGCUGAAACCUACUACAGUGUUCAAAACAUCAUAUGCAGACUGUUGCUAAACUGCUCAAGGGGCAAAGUAACUACGGAAACUUUCUGGGGAAAC
rnacentral:lncRNA from 1 species